rnacentral:rRNA from 1 species
UACGUAGGGUGCGAGCGUUGUCCGGAAUUAUUGGGCGUAAAGGGCUCGUAGGCGGUCUGUCGCGUCGGGAGUGAAAACUCAGGGCUUAACCCUGAGCCUGCUUCCGAUACGGGCAGACUAGAGGUAUGCAGGGGAGAACGGAAUUCCUGGUGUAGCGGUGGAAUGCGCAGAUAUCAGGAGGAACACCGAUGGCGAAGGCAGGUCUCUGGGCAUUAACUGACGCUGAGGAGCGAAAGCAUGGGGAGCGAACAGG